GGGUUGUGAGGUUAAGCGACUAAGCGUACACGGUGGAUGCCCUGGCAGUCAGAGGCGAUGAAGGACGUGCUAAUCUGCGAUAAGCGUCGGUAAGGUGAUAUGAACCGUUAUAACCGGCGAUUUCCGAAUGGGGAAACCCAGUGUGAUUCGUCACACUAUCAUUAACUGAAUCCAUAGGUUAAUGAGGCGAACCGGGGGAACUGAAACAUCUAAGUACCCCGAGGAAAAGAAAUCAACCGAGAUUCCCCCAGUAGCGGCGAGCGAACGGGGAGGAGCCCAGAGCCUGAAUCAGUGUGUGUGUUAGUGGAAGCGUCUGGAAAGGCGCGCGAUACAGGGUGACAGCCCCGUACACAAAAAUGCACAUGCUGUGAGCUCGAUGAGUAGGGCGGGACACGUGGUAUCCUGUCUGAAUAUGGGGGGACCAUCCUCCAAGGCUAAAUACUCCUGACUGACCGAUAGUGAACCAGUACCGUGAGGGAAAGGCGAAAAGAACCCCGGCGAGGGGAGUGAAAAAGAACCUGAAACCGUGUACGUACAAGCAGUGGGAGCACAGAGCAAUCUGUGUGACUGCGUACCUUUUGUAUAAUGGGUCAGCGACUUAUAUUCUGUAGCAAGGUUAACCGAAUAGGGGAGCCGAAGGGAAACCGAGUCUUAACCGGGCGUUAAGUUGCAGGGUAUAGACCCGAAACCCGGUGAUCUAGCCAUGGGCAGGUUGAAGGUUGGGUAACACUAACUGGAGGA
rnacentral:rRNA from 1 species